AGCACUGUCAGCCUCUGGCUAUAGUGGCAGAGCCUGCUGCUGUACAUGAUGGGAUGUGCCUCGGACUUACUAUUUAGCGAGGAUAGACCUGACCCAUUAUGAUUAGAGCGGCGGGUUGCUGUGGCGACGACACGGAGAAGGCUCCCGCACACCUGCACCGCCACCGGGCGCCGCCAGUGUGGACGCAGGCAUCCCUGGGGGCCGCUCUCUGCUGUGGGAAACACGACAACAACAACAAAAGGGAGGCAGGGAGAAGGGAAGACGGAGGAGGGGACGGGAGAAGGGAAGGGAGCGAUGCACCACUAGUUUCAGCAGUGACUAACAAAACAGGAUAGAAAUCCACAAGUCACACAGAUGGCGCCCCAGAAAAGGCGAGGAAGCCGUCUGCGGGCCUGCUGAGGAAGGCCAGCAGCAGAGGGACAGAUAGGCGCAUCCUCUGAGCCACUCCUGCGCCCACCAGAGAAGAACAAAACGUUAAACCAAGAACCUGGAUGCGACCAUUCUUAUGAAGAAAAACAAUAGGGGAAAAAACAGCUCAGAAAAACUUGAAUGCCUUGUCUUUGAGAAUUUAAACGUGCUAAUGAGGUUCUACAGGGAUCCACAUAGUGUGCAAACCCCAUGUAGCAAAGACUAGGCCAACUGCCGAAUGCAAAUCCUGAGAAAAUAAGCCGCAAGAACAUGCUGAAGAAAACUCAUGGUUACUGCAAGAUGACCCUGGCACGUGAGGCUCGCCCGCAGUGCUUCCUGUGUGGGAACAUAUUCUCCCAGCUGGGGAUUGUCUGCAAGCCUGCUGAACUGCAAUGAGAGCAGCUUUCCUCCCAAAGCCAGGAGCAUCUGCUUCUGAAAGUGCCCUUCUCCUCCCCUCCCUUCCAGAAUGCCCCCUCUUCAGAAAGUCCCACUUCUGUACAAGCAGGGCCUGGGAACAGGGAAUAUUCCUGAACUCAGCAUGUCUUCAUCCAGCACUGUAGCCAGGCAGUUCAGCUUUCUGAAAUGGUGCUUUCCGAUGAGAAAACACAGGACGGGGUGCAGUGUCGCCUCCAAUUUACAUUUCCCUCAAAAGCUCUGUGUUCCUGCAACAUUGUUCUCCAAGCCAACCACAAAUAACAACAGAGAAAAACAACGGAGUAAGCAAAAGUAAAAUGGACUAAAGGUAAACAUUCAGGACCAACAGAGGGAAGGAACUAAGGCUCGCCACAGGGCACACUAAAAAUCAGGAAUAAAAGAGAAAGACAGCUGCCUCCUCCACGGCUCUGCACGGCUGAGCCCUUCCCAGCAUGGACUUCAUCAGUGGCUGUCCUCCCACACUGUAGAAUGUGAAAGUCAUCUUUCAUGGAGAUAGGACAGAAUUACAGAUCGUAGGCAGACUUCUUGCAACUGUGUUAGAAGAGCCCAUCCUGGCAAGAGGAAACCGCAGGCAAUCUGUGCUUGGUUGAAAAUAUACUUUGCUUUAUUUUUUCUAAUGGACACUGUUGCAACAGAACAAAUAGAGAGUAGGCUCCUUUCUUUUUACAGGAUUUUAGAGGAUAAAGAAAUGACAAAGUUCAUCUAUUUGUCAAAUGUUUUGUAUGAACAAGAGAGAGCUCAGUCUCUUAAAAUUACAAUGUCAUAGCUUUUUGGGUCAAGCAUUUUUAAUAUAAUUUAGCAUAGGUACGUGUAAUAAAUCCUGGGAAACGACAAUGGAAAUUAGGUUUGUUCCCUCACUUUAAAUUUGGUAGAAGACAAGGAGAGUAUCCUGUCUUUUACCACGAGAGCUACUGUCUUAUCCACAGUAGGUUUGGUUAUUAUAAGCUUACAACCAAGAACAGAGAUUAAAGACACAAAACAGAAACAUAAAUAGGGUCAGAUGCCAAAAGAGUAAGUGGACGAAAAGGAACAAAAUUCAUAAAGCAAGCUGAGUUUAGAUUUUAGUCUGAGUGAAAUAUUGAGUUUGGAUAACAGGAUCCUGCAAAGCUGAGACUUGGAAUGCUCUAAUAGAGGGAUCUGGCAAGGCUGGGAAGAAACAUUCCAAAAUAAGAAGCAGUGAUAGCUAAUAAUAUAAAACAUGGUUUUAUCUCAGAAAUUAAAAAAAGGCAAAAAAUUUAAAGGAAAAGAAUUCAUAUUUUAAAAGUAUCCUCAGUACUGAGGAUUUGAAGGAAAUGAACUCAAAUUUUGAGGAAGGAAAUUGAAAAUAUGUAUAGCAAAUCUUCUGUUAUUUAUAAACAUUUAUCUUGGUCCAAAAGUAAGAGGUGUACAGAGGUUAUUGUCACCAUAUCUAUAUAUUAGAAAUCGAAAUGUUGUUGUUAAGAAAAUGCAAGAGAGUAACCAAGAAAAUUAUGGUAUAUGAACAAAUAGUGCCUUAGAACAAUUUCUAACCAUAGGAAAAUGGUUAUGCUAUGUUUGCUUGGUGAAAAAUAAGUGAUUUUAAUUUUGUGUGAAAGGUUCACUCUAAAAUGCUUCUAGCAGUUUUUCUAUGUUCAAGGAUUACAGGUGCCUUUUUAAAAUUUUCCCCUGAACCUCUAUCUUUUCAAAAUUUUCAAAAUGAAAAUUUAUAUGUUUUGAGCUUUUUAUUGAAAAAUAUUCCUUUUAUAAAAAUGUGUGCAAAUAAGAAUACCUUUCGGUAAACUUUAGGAGACUAAAGACAUCCUGGCAACAAGCACCCACUUGGAGAAACAGCAUCAGGAGUCCAGGAGUGUCAUUUCUUCUUCUUCCAGGUCUCUGUGCUUCCCACAGAGAUAAACAGAGAUAAAUGCCGACAUGUGACACCAUGGCUUAAUUUCUCCUUUGUGCCCUUUAGAUAAAAGAAUCACACAGCACACAAUCUUUUCUAUCUGGCAUCUUUCAUCUAAUGUUGAAAUGUUCCAAUUAGGCUAAAAACUGAUAGAAAGUUAAUUCAUUGUUUCUUGAUUUUCUUUUGUUGAUUCUAGGCCCUAUGGUCAUCCACCUUAGGUUUGUGCUCUGAUGCUAAGAUUGGUCCUAAAAUUGUCAAAAUCUCUCAGUUACAAAUGUUUCAUGAACUCAUGUAACACUUAUGCCUUCUUUUAGGAUAUUAAACAUCACCUGGUACCAUAUUCUAGGUUGCUGCAUCAAAUUUUUAAUCAAGUUGUCCAAUAUUUAAUUUGUGUGUCUUGUUUAUUUUAACUAAUAGUUAUUGGGUGGUUUCCAGGUUCCGGGCACAUUAGGACUAUGAGAUAACAAUAUUACUUCGUCCUAUAGGUGUGGGGAAGCAAAUUCAGAAGGAGAAUGAUCUCAAAGAGUAAGAAGGUGAUCGAAUCCCAGCCUGUGACUAGAAACCCCAUCUGCAGCAGGCCGCUGCAUUAAAUGGUCCUCUGGUGCCCCCACUUUUCCUCAUUGUUCAUAGUUGAUCUACUCACAGGAUCCAAAGGGCCUAGGGGAAAAAAUAUUCUUUUAUUUCCCCACCUAAACCAGCAUUUGCAGUUACUCACUAGAAUAAUUAUUUGAUUACUAAACAUGAAUGAGAUGAUCUUUUAUUUUUUUAUUCCACAGAAUGGUUAUAAAUAUUUUCUCCCAAUAAAGCAGUACUAUUCUGCCUUAUAUUGUUGGCCACCAUUAAGGUUUAGGAUUUUGAUUUUAAUAUUCUGUUAAGAAAAUAAAUUUAAUUGCUAGACAUAGCCAACAAUGUUAAGUAGAAAUAUAGAUAAAGCAAGUUAUAUACAAAUAGGAUCAUUUAAAACAUCGAUUGUCUACCCCUAUAGGAAAAAAUAAUUUUGAAAUAAAUUAAAAGUUAAAAGCUAUAGAAAUAAAAAUAUAAUUUAAAAAUAAAAUAAAUACUAUAGUAUGCAGAAGGAAUGAUUUGAGUUUUAGAACAUUAGCACCUUUUGAAAAAUGAAAAAUAUUCUUAGUUGUCUUGUAAGAAUGAAUAAUAUUGUUACAGUUGUUCUCAAGCUUUCAGUGGUGCAAACAUCUUGACAACUGUCAAAAUUGAUCUUUUUUUCACAUGUCCAUGUUCAAUAGACAGAAUAGGCAAAUGUGUCAAUGUAUUUUUGCACAUACUUAAUCAGAGAAUACAUUUAAUUAAAUUUUAGUGUCAGAAACUUUAUUUCACAUAAUUUGAAAUAACAUACAUUUGCAGAUAUUAUAAUAUUACUCAUGUCUUUUGGCUUUUAUUCUAGUAGCUUUUAAAUGUCGUUAGUCAAAUAGUUUUAAAUACAGAUUAUUAACUUUCUGUUUAAGCAUUUUCCAAAAUUCUAGUAUUUAAAUAACUUAAAUUCUGUGACUUGUUUGUUUCAUAAUCAUUGUACUUUCAUAGAUGCGCUCUUUAAAUUCAGAAAAACAGUAGUAUUAGAGAAAUGAACCCUGAAUGUAUGGGAUUCUUGCAUUAAUUUCUGUUAGAAUAUAAUGCUUAUAAAAUAUUAAUAAAUUCAUGCUUCCAGGCAUGGUAGCACAUACCUGUAAUCCCAGCACCCAGGAGGCUGAGGUAGAAGGAUCACCAUGAGUUCGAGGCCAACCUGGGUUAAUAGCGAGUUCAAAGCCAGCCUGAACUACAUAGCGAGACCCUAUUUCAAAUACAUACGUAUAUACAUACAUACUAUCUAAUUCAAGCUUCCUGUAUACAAUAUUAAAAAUUAACAGUAAACACAUUGAUAGGCCAAAUUGUGCUCCACCCGUUUUCAUAUGUUGAAGUUCUAACCUCUAGUACCUUAGAAUGAGACUAUCUAUAAUUGGAUUAUUAAAGAAUUGAGUUAAAACUGGCUCCUUAGAAUGAAGCCUAAUCCAAUAUGAUGAUGUUCCGAUGAAAAGAGGACACUAGACAGACACAAGAAAGUGUAAAGAUGCAAAAAAAAGUCUACAACAAGCCAUGUAUCAGUCAGUAUUUACCAGAGAAGCAGAUAUAACAUAAGAUAUACAAAUGUAGAAGAAAUUACAAGGUGGCUUACAAUGGCUGCCCACAGAGCUGGAUGAAGAAGCAUGCAGAGAUUGUGCACAGUGGAGAAAGAAGGACUCAGUCAAAGCUCUGGAGCUCAGUGCAGUGUCCCUGGAGAGUCUCUAUCAAGAGGCCUAUGGGUCUGCAGUGGAAGACUGAAGAAUCUGCGCUGAAGUCUGGCAGAUGGACUCCGAGAGCCAAAGGGUCAGCACUGAAGCCAGGAGAUAGCGGCUCAGGUGAGGGCAAAGACUACAGCUCUUCCAGAGAAACAGAAGCAGGUCCAUGUUUCUUCAUUUCCCCUUGAUACCACCCAGGUGACAAGCCACCCUAUGGCGGGUCUUCCACACCUAGGGUGUGGGAUUGCUGAACUGACUUAGUUAUACUUCUGUUACUCAGGUUGACACAACCAACCAUGACACAUGGAAAGAGAUCUCAGAAGAAAUCGGUGCAAUUGGCUUCAUGUUUUGGGACUUUUAUCUUUCCGAACUGUAAGACAAUGAGUUUUUUUUGUUGAAACUACCCAGUCUCUGGUACUUUGGUGUAGAAGUCCUAGCAAACUAAUACACAAAAAUCAUUCUUUAUAAUUUAGACUAAUAAAACAUCUUUUUCUUGGA